UCUUAAAAGUCUAAAAAUUUUAUUUUUAGACACCAAUAUGUUUUCAAGCCAAAUACCAUAAACUAUCUUUAAUAUAUCUGGGUUGCAAGAGAUUGAUUUUAGUUGGAAUAAUUUGUCGGGAGGCAUUCCCUCAAAUAUAUGUCAUGGCCUUCCAAAUUUACAAGCUUUGGAUCUUCAAGCCAACAAAUUAUUUGGAGCUAUACCAUCUGAUUGGACACAAUGCAAGGAACUCAAAGAGUUACAAUUAGGAGACAACUUCUUCACAGAUUUGUGCGGCUGCUGUACACCGGAGGAAGUGACACCGUGAAGACCUCCGUUGUAGCCGUGUGUCAUUGCUGUACAGCCGAGGAAGCAACGCUGCAAAGACCUCCACUACUGUCGUGAAGACUUCCGUUUUCUGCCGUGAAGACUACACUGUGAAGGAAAUAUUCCUCAAACAAUUGGUGGCCUCACAAACUUGAAAAUUAUAUAUCUACGUGCUAACAAGUUGUCUGGCCAGAUACCAAGGAGUAUUGAAAAUUUGACAAAACUUCAAGAGCUAGACCUUAGUGGAAAUAACAUUGAAGGAAAUAUUCCUCAAACAAUUGGUGACCUAUCAAACUUGAAAAUUAUAUCUAUAGGUGCUAACAAGUUGUCCGGCCAAAUACCAAGGAAUAUUGGAAAGUUGACAAAACUUCAAGAGCUAGACCUUAGUGGAAAUAACAUUGAAGGUGAUAUAUGACUUGUGCAUCAAUUGGACAAAUGGAGUCAAAAUUCCAUGGGGUCAAAGGCUGAUGGUUUGGAUGUGUAAAGGCUCUUAUUGGUGGUUUAGAUCAGCUAAAAUUGUGGAUGACACAUGGAAUUAAUUAUAUACAUAUUGGAAUCAUCUACAAGCCAAUAAAAGGGUGCCACCUUGCAAGUAUGACAAGGCUCCCAUUUUUCAUUUAUUUUCUUUUCUUAUUUUUUUAAUUGAGCUUUAGCUGAUGGGGAAGUACUUAGAGCAUGUUCCACACCCCCUAAAAUGAGAUUCAUUCACCCAUUCCUUCAUCUCCAACAUUUUCUCUCACUUGUUCAUAAUGUUCUUCAUUUUCUUUUAAUUCUCUCCCUACACUUCUACUCUCUCUCCUCCAUAUCUCUCAAUCUAACCAUCCAAAUUUAACCAAACACCACCAUUCUCUUCCUCUCUUCCUCCUCUACAAAACCUAAUAGCUUUCAUAAGGAUCAAACCUUGUUUAAUUUAGGCAAAAUUCAUGGGAAAAAGAGCCAGAAUUUUGGAGCUUCAA